rnacentral:rRNA from 1 species
CAGCCGCCGCGGUAAUACGAAGGGUGCAAGCGUUAAUCGGAAUUACUGGGCGUAAAGCGUGCGUAGGCGGUGAGUUAAGUCUGCUGUGAAAUCCCCGGGCUCAACCUGGGAAUGGCAGUGGAUACUGGCUCGCUAGAGUGUGUCAGAGGAUGGUGGAAUUCCCGGUGUAGCGGUGAAAUGCGUAGAGAUCGGGAGGAACAUCAGUGGCGAAGGCGGCCAUCUGGGACAACACUGACGCUGAGGCACGAAAGCGGGGGAGCAAACAGGAUUAGAUACCCCCGUAGUCCCUGUCUCUUAUACC